rnacentral:tRNA from 1 species
GCGUGGGUAGCCAAGUUAGGCCAACGGCGCGGCGUUCAGGGCGCCGUCGUGUAGACGUUCGCCGGUUCAAAUCCGGUCCCACGCA